GGGAGAUCGCGAUGGACAUGUCUUUUUGUGAACUCGGUCAGGUCUGAAAAGAAGCAGCCGUAGCGAUUAUGGUAUGGGUUAUUUCGGUCUCCUAUC
rnacentral:SRP_RNA from 1 species